UACGUAGGGUGCGAGCGUUGUCCGGAAUUAUUGGGCGUAAAGAGCUUGUAGGCGGUCUGUCGCGUCUGCUGUGAAAAUCCGGGGCUCAACCCCGGACUUGCAGUGGGUACGGGCAGACUAGAGUGUGGUAGGGGAGACUGGAAUUCCUGGUGUAGCGGUGAAAUGCGCAGAUAUCAGGAGGAACACCGAUGGCGAAGGCAGGUCCCUGGGCCACUACUGACGCUGAGAAGCGAAAGCCAGGGGAGCAAACAGG
rnacentral:rRNA from 1 species